GUAAAGCGUGCGUAGGCGGCUAUGCAAGUCAGAUGUGAAAGCCCCAGGCUCAACCUGGGAAUUGCGUUUGAAACUGUGUGGCUAGAGUUCGACAGAGGAAGAUAGAAUUCCAUGUGUAGCGGUGAAAUGCGUAGAUAUAUGGAAGAAUACUAAUGGCGAAGGCAUUCUUCUGGGUCGACACUGACGCUGAGUCACUAAAGCGUGGGGAGCAAACAGGAUUAGAUACCCUGGUAGUCCACGCCCUAAACGAUGUCCGCUAGCUAUCGGGGUUUAGCCUCGGUGGCGAAGCUAACGCGUUAGCGGACCGCCUGGGGAGUACGAUCGCAAGAUUAAAACUCAAAGGAAUUGACGGGGACCC
rnacentral:rRNA from 1 species